GCUGGGAGUGGUGGUGCAUGCCUAUAAUUCCAGCAGCCCAGGAGGCUGAGACAGGAGGAUCGAGAGUUCAAGCCAGCCUCAGCAACUUAGUGAGGUCCCAAACAACUCAGUGAGACCCUGUCUCUC
rnacentral:sRNA from 1 species